rnacentral:lncRNA from 1 species
GUCUAUUUGGUCCUGCCUUUUUUUAUUAGUUUGUCCGGAAUUUUUUUACAUAAAUCGUCAUCCGGCCUUUUUUCUUUUGCCAAGUUGCCCAUCCUGCCUUUUCAUAUCUUUCGCAAGUUUUAGGUAUUCGACUAAGAAAAGUGUGAUUUUUUUCUGAUUCAGUAAACUUAGUUUUGAGAAAAAAAAAUCCAGAAUUCUGAGUAAAUUAAGAACAUGUAACCAACCAUACUUUGUUUAGAGUAAAAUGGAGAUGGCAAACCAUGAUCAACC